rnacentral:rRNA from 1 species
UUUAUGCACCAUUGGAUGAGCCUGCACUUGAUUAGUUUGUUGGUGGGGUAAUGGCCUACCAAGACUGUGAUCAAUAGCUGAUUUGAGAGGAUGAUCAGCCACAUUGGGACUGAGACACGGCCCAAACUCCUACGGGAGGCAGCAGUGGGGAAUCUUGCACAAUGGAGGAAACUCUGAUGCAGCGAUGCCGCGUGAGUGAAGAAGGCCUUUGGGUUGUAAAGCUCUUUCGUCGGGGAAGAAAAUGACUGUACCCGAAUAAGAAGGUCCGGCUAACUUCGUGCCAGCAGCCGCGGUAAUACGAAGGGACCUAGCGUAGUUCGGAAUUACUGGGCUUAAAGAGUUCGUAGGUGGUUGAAAAAGUUGGUGGUGAAAUCCCAGAGCUUAACUCUGGAACUGCCAUCAAAACUUUUCAGCUAGAGUAUGAUAGAGGAAAGCAGAAUUUCUAGUGUAGAGGUGAAAUUCGUAGAUAUUAGAAAGAAUACCAAUUGCGAAGGCAGCUUUCUGGAUCAUUACUGACACUGAGGAACGAAAGCAUGGGUAGCGAAGAGGAUUAGAUACCCUCGUAGUCCAUGCCGUAAACGAUGUGUGUUAGACGUUGGAAAUUUAUUUUCAGUGUCGCAGCGAAAGCGAUAAACACACCGCCUGGGGAGUACGACCGCAAGGUUAAAACUCAAAUGAAUUGACGGGGACCCGCACAAGUAGUGGAGCAUGUGGUUUAAUUCGAAGAUACGCGCAGAACCUUACCAACACUUGACAUGUUCGUCGCGACUCUAAGAGAUUAGAGUUUUCGGUUCGGCCGGACGAAACACAGGUGCUGCAUGGCUGUCGUCAGCUCGUGUCGUGAGAUGUUGGGUUAAGUCCCGCAACGAGCGCAACCCUCACUUUUAGUUGCCAUCAUUAAGUUGGGCACUCUGAAAGAACUGCCAGUGAUAAGCUGGAGGAAGGUGGGGAUGACGUCAAGUCCUCAUGGCCCUUACGUGUUGGGCUACACACGUGCUACAAUGGUAUCUACAACAGGAAGCAAGACUGCGAGGUCAAGCAAAUCCUUAAAAGAUACCUCAGUUCGGAUUGCACUCUGCAACUCGAGUGCAUGAAGCUGGAAUUACUAGUAAUCGUGGAUCAGCGUGCCACGGUGAAUGCGUUCCCGGGUCUUGUACACACCGCCCGUCACACCAUGGGAGUUGGUUCUACCUUAAGGCAAGGUUUAAAACCCUUGACCACGGUAUAGUCAGCGACUGGGGUGAAGUCGUAACAAGGUAGC